GAUCUUUCUAAUAUACUUGUACAUGUUUUUCUUACCCUGGAGUUUCACCUUGGUGCUUUUUUUUCCACCUUUCCUGGCUAAAUGCUCAGCCUAUUCUAUCUUGACUUACAGGUCUUUUAUUGCAGUUUCAUAGUUCUUCUUAAUCUUUUCCAGGUGCACACAAUGAUCCUGCUCCUGACACAGAUCUUUUGCCACACAGGAAACCUGUGAGGAAGGCUGCCUUUCUAAAGACCGGACCCACCGUUCACUGAAAGGAAUGGAAGUAAUCCUGGCUGACUUGGACAACUCUAGGUCAGACCAUAAACUAGGUGGUGGUAUGCUCACUCAGUACCACUGGAGUAGUCGAAGGGUGUUUUAUGAACUCAACUGCUGGAGUGUAGCGACAAGAGGCUGAAAUGGAAAGACCGUCUAGCGAAGCCCUCAUUCCAAGUCACGCCUUUGGCUGCGCCCUUCUUGCCAAGGUGGACCAGCAAAUUUCAUCAGUAAGAGGAGCGGAUAUUUGGCAGACAAACCUCAGACUGAAUCCUCGGAAGAAGCAGCCAUGUUGGUGAUGGAAUUAAAAUUUCAUUUUAAAAUCGUUUCUAGGCUCGAUGGUAAUGAUGAAUAAAUUCUGUGUGUUUGCUACAAGCAGAGAGGAUAACGACUACUGUGUCACAGUCUUGCUUGCUUCAGUUGCUCAGUGGAUGUGAACUGCCCCAAAAGACAACUGCUUCUCUAUCAGCUUGAAGUAUUUCUCUCCUAUAUUUGCCUCAGCUGGAGUGUCUGGGAUGUGGUUACUCUGCAAGCAUUGCCGUGGUGGGUGUUUCGGGUGAAUACGCUUAGGAUAGAGUUUCCAGGCAGGAAGAUUCAGAUAAACAGCCACUUUGAGGUGAAAAUUAGAGAGUUCAUGUUACACCCACCUCUUGAAUUUGUAACUGACUAUUCACCCUGAAAAUCUGAUUCUAAGAACUCAGCAUGUCCUGUCAGGAGCAGAAUAAUACCACAGAAACCGUGGCCAGACUGAGUCUUGAAUAUUGAGAAUUGUGAUUAACUUCUCAGGAAUGUAUCCGGAGCAAGUCAUACUUUCUGGGCUUUUUUAGCUAAUUAUUUCAAACCUUGAAUCUGUGAAUGGUGAUUGUAAACAGUUCUCAGACAAACAUCUUAGAGAAAGACGUG